CCUGGAGGGCUGGCCAGGGUGGGGCAGGGGCCCGGCCUCAGCGUACGCUUCCUGCCCCGUCUCGGGGCAGGUGCCCGGGAUGCCCGCGGCCGAGGAAUAAGGGGGUGGGGGUGCGCGGGCCAGAGGCUGGGACCCAGGCAGCGGUGUAUGACCCACCCGGCGGAAAUGGAGACUAAUUACGGACGUCUUUAUGCUAACAUGCACCUGGCUGGGCUUUUCUAGGGCGGAGAAAGUGUGCAGAGUAGAAAGGAAGAAGUUCCGGAGAGCGGGAAAGUUCCGGAAGCACUUGAUUCCGUGAUAAAAAAAAAACUGCAGGCCUCUGCUCACGCGCUGUGUGGCCUUGGGGAAGUUACUUGAGGAUGUUAUUGGGCUUAAGUGUUCUACUCUGAAGAAGAGAGAACACGGGUCAAGUUUUCUUCCCAAGCUCGGUCACUCUGUCAGCAACAAGAUGGAAGUCUGACCCUCAGGUUGAUCUCAGAAGAUAGAGAGGGGCCAGGUUGCGGGAGGUGUGAGGGGUGUGUCACAGGGCAGAAUCCUGGGCGUUGCAGAGCAUCCAAGUCGCAAAAACCAGGAGCGCGAUUCCAAGGGCCUGUGGCUGUCUCCACUGUUGCCCAGAAGUCAAAGUGAGGGCCCCAAGGAAGGAGGCCAAACAAAGGUCCCCGGAUUUGUGGCAGGAAGGUAGGAAGGAGGUGGUUUGGUGGUAAAAGAAGAUGGGAGAUGGGGUGGGCAGCAGGUUGGAAAAGUGGGUGUUUUACCAUGGGACCCAUCUGAGCUUUAUUAUAAGGUUGGGGGUGGAGGGCAGGGAUGGGUUGAAGAUGCCAAGGAGAGAAAGGGGAGAUGACUGAUGGGAUUAUGUCCUGAAGAAGGCCUAAGGGUGGGAGCUAGAGCACAGGUGGGAAGGAAAAGGAAAUACACUGGGGAGGUGGGUGGGGCGAGGAGGAGAGGAUGUUUUUACCCAGAGAGAACUCUCUUCAUGAGUCUUACUCAACUCAGUGGUGGAGGAGAUCUCAGUGUGGUCACCUAGUGAGGAGUGAAAAUGGACCUGGGAAGAAACCACCAUGGAGACCAAAUCAGGGUUAGGGUGGGGAGGAUGGAAGGGCUGAUGAGUAGGAGUGCUGUUGAGGUUGAAUUACAGGAAUUUGAAAGCAAAGUAAAAGAAAUCUUUGAGGGGCUGUGAGAGGCUGGCAUUUAUGAGAUUGUCUUGUACCCUUCCAUACAUUGUCUCUUUUAAUUCCCCACCAGUAGGUAUUAUUAAUCCCAUUUUAUCGUUGGGGAAAUGGAGGCUCAGAGUGCUGAGGAACUUUGUCCAAGGUCACUCAGCUGGUAAGAGAUGAAGUCCUGAUUCGAACCCACGUCUGUCUGCCUCAGAAUGGAGGCUGCUACCAUUUUGUUCCACUGGGCAGGAGUCCUGACCCUGGGGCCUCAAUAGUCCUUCCUUCCCCAGGUGUGGCCAUCCUGGGGUGCUGACCCACUUGGCUGGAAGGAAGGGGCUGGGCUUUCGACCCAGUGCAGGCUGUCCUGAGCCAGCCUGAACUUGCAGGAAGCCUCCACCCAGCUGAGAUGUGGGGGGAAAGAGUGGGCUUUUUUUCCCUAAAUGAGAUCAAAACAUAUAUAUUUUUCUGCAACGUACCAUUUUUAGCUUAAUAUUUCCAUAUAUGUGUGUGUAUACACACACACGCACGCACCUUUUAAAGUUGUGUUGUCCUCCUUUGUAUAGUUAUUCUGUUUAUUAUUUACUUUUUCCCCUACAAGUUUUGCAGUCAUAGUGCUUUAGUGCACAUCCAUCUUUGUGAGAAUAUCUUUGAGCAGAUAGAGAUACUUCUACAUGAUAGAGUCCUAGAAGUGGCAUCAGUGGGUCAAGGAUAUGCUUAUUUUCAGUUCUUAUGGAUAGUCCUAAACCUUCCUCCAAAGAGGCUGUUCCCUCCAUCAAAGUAUGAGUGUACCCAUUCUUUCACAGCCUGGCCUCUGGGUAUCAUACAAUGUAUACAUAUUGUCCAAUCUAUAUGGCCAAAAAAGAGUUUUUCACUUUUGUUUUGUAAAGACUUGAAAAAGAGUUCAAGAAUGAGAAGCAGAAAUUUAGGGCAGCUCUGAGGAAGAACUUAAGGUCAGUGAAUGCUAUCAGGACCUAGAUAAGAGAGGCAGCAUAAUUCCUUUCUCUGAGCACAUUGCGAUGCUUGUAGUGGAUCAGACAGCCCCGGAGCUCUGCGUAAGGGCUGACUACCUUGGCACAUACAGGCUGUGUGCAGUCUAGCUCCGCAGAGGUUACAGGAACAAGCUAACAGGCUGCAGGGGGCAGAGGAGGGCAGUUUCAGGGAGGGCAUAGGAAUGAGUUGGGCUUCCUGAAAGAGCCAGGGAAGAUGAGGGUCACCAGGCUCUGAGUGCUAGAUGAAAACUGGUCGGUCCAUAGGCUGUGGAGGUGAAUGAUGGAAAGAGAAUAGGACUUCAGAUUCAGCUUAGCAAAAGUGGAGGUGGGAGAAGAUGGAGAGUGGUGAGAGCACCCCCACCCACACACCCACCCACAAACCUCCCCCUAGGCUAUUCAUGACACAGUUGAUAUUUUUGAGUACUUAUUAUAUGACAUUGCCUCAAGUGUUUGAUUUAUUGAAUAAUUUUGCCCUUGCAGCAAUUCUAUGAGAUAAGUAUAAUGAUUAUUCCCAUUUUAGAGAUGAGGACAUGGAAGUAUAGAGUUAAGUUGCUUAUGCAAGGUGACAACGAUAGAACGUGGCCAAACUAGAAUUCAGACUCAGGCUGUGGGACUUCCAGGUCCCUGCUUUCAGCCACUACACACAUGGCUUUUCACAGCUUUCCUUAGCCAAUAUACUAAUAACUACCAUUAACUGAGAGCAAACUAGGCACACUAUGUUUUUUGUCUCUAAUGCUUUCAACAAGUCUAUGUAAUAGAAGAUAUUAUCCUUAAUUUAAAUUUGAGAAAAGUGAAGUUCAGAGAAGCUGGGUACCUUGGCUAAGAUGACCCAGCUAAAAAGAACUUGAGUAGAAUUUGCACGCACAUUUGUAUGAAUCAGAAGCCCCUGCCACUUCCACAUCACCACAGGACCUUUCGUGACAUAAGGAGAGGAGAACUAGCAUAGCAGAGUGGUCAGGGCUGGAAGUGACCUCUGAAACCGUCUAAUCCAAAUUUCUUGUUAUAGACGAAGAAAGGAAGGUACAGAGAAGGUACAUGCCCAACGUUACACAGCAAGUCUCAGAACCAGGCACAUCUCCUGGGUUCCUGGUCUUCUAUGGGAAUUGAAUGCUUUACCUCAUCUCUGCAGAGAAGAGAGUGUGUGAGAGCAGCCUAGAGGAAGAAUCUAUGUGUAUCUGGGGUGGGGGGGGGUGGGGGAGGGUGGGGAGCCUGUCUGCAUCGCUGGGGAGAGCCCAGCCUCAUCAGCAGGGCUGACUAGGAAGCAGACUGACAAUUUGGAAGGGAAAUCUGGGGAAGCCAUCCUUUUUCUGGAACAGAGACCUGGAACCUCCCCGCUCCAACCCUCCCUUACACGCCUCCUGCCCUGGCCUUCCGAGUGUGUGCAGUCUACUCCCAUCUUAAGCACAGCAUGAGCUGAUGUCCUGGACAGAGCUUCUUUUGAAGGGUUUCAAGAGUCUCUCACCAUCCUGGGUGACCCAAGGACUGCCAUUUCAUCUUAUAAUGCGUCCUGGGUGUGAUGUUUGGAGCUAUGGCAUCCAUCUUGUGAUCAUGAGGCAAAGGCCAAGAGACAUAUGGAGACAUGGAUCCAGCAACCAGGUGUUAUUGAGAAACUAAACUGACCCCAGAUUCCACCUACCUUCAAGCUUCUUAUUAUAUGAGCCCCAAAGUCAACCUGGCAUCCUGUCAACAGAGAACCUGGCACAUACUGGGUUGUUCCUCUUCUCUUUUCCUUUUGGAGUGCAUGAAGGGGUUAACAGUGGCCACACCAUGAGGCUGUUUCUGUCUCCAGUGGGAGCAAGACGGACCACCCCGUAACCAGAAGAAUUACACAUAUGAGUGAUAUCAUAUGGCAUUUUUCCUUCUCUUUCUGACUUGCUU